AGGAUGAACGCUAGCGGCAGGCCUAACACAUGCAAGUCGAGGGGCAUCGCGUGCAGCAAUGCACUGGCGGCGACCGGCGUACGGGUGCGUAACGCGUAUGCAACCUGCCCCGCACCGGGGGAUAGCCCGCCGAAAGGCGGAUUAAUACCCCAUGGCCCCGGGGGCCCGCAUGGGCAUCCGGGUAAAGCCUUGGCGGUGCGGGAUGGGCAUGCGUGCCAUUAGCUGGCUGGUGGGGUAACGGCCCACCAGGGCAACGAUGGCUAGGGGGUCUGAGAGGAUGGUCCCCCACACUGGUACUGAGACACGGACCAGACUCCUACGGGAGGCAGCAGUGAGGAAUAUUGGUCAAUGGGCGGAAGCCUGAACCAGCCAUGCCGCGUGCGGGAUGAAGGCCCUACGGGUUGUAAACUGCUUUUCCCCGGGGCGAAUAACCCCCUCGCGAGGGGGGAUGCCGGUACCGGGGGAAUAAGGAUCGGCUAACUCCGUG
rnacentral:rRNA from 1 species